UACGGAGGGUGCAAGCGUUAUCCGGAUUCACUGGGUUUAAAGGGUGCGUAGGUGAGUCUGUAAGUCAGUGGUGAAAUCCCCGGGCUCAACCCGGGAACUGCGUCCGAUACUGGAAGGCUUGAAUCCGGGAGAGGGAUGCGGAAUUCCAGGUGUAGCGGUGAAAUGCGUAGAUAUCUGGAGGAACACCGGUGGCGAAGGCGGCAUCCUGGACCGGCAUUGACGCUGAGGCGCGAAAGCCAGGGGAGCAAACGGG
rnacentral:rRNA from 1 species